UACGUAGGGGGCAAGCGUUGUCCGGAAUCAUUGGGCGUAAAGAGCGUGUAGGCGGCCCGGUAAGUCCGCUGUGAAAGUCCAGGGCUCAACCCUGGGAUGCCGGUGGAUACUGUCGGGCUCGAGUCCGGAAGAGGAGUGUGGAAUUCCUGGUGUAGCGGUGAAAUGCGCAGAUAUCAGGAGGAACACCAAUGGCGAAGGCAGCUCACUGGGACGGUAUUGACGCUGAGACGCGAAAGCGUGGGGAGCAAACAGG
rnacentral:rRNA from 1 species